rnacentral:rRNA from 1 species
ACGGACCAAGGAGUCUAGAAUGCGCGCGAGUCAAAGGGUUGGGCUAAACCCCAAGGCGAAACGAAAGUGAUUAUACAAAAAUGUACGGGGCCGAUCCGGUUUGCGUGGGAGCGAACGGGAACAACAAAGGGUGGAAAGAGGUUUAACGGGGGGUGCUAUUCUUCGCGCGGUCGUUCUUAGUAGUAGUAGUAGUCGUCGGGAUGCGUGCGUCGGUCGGUGGUGGCUUUUCGCUUCCGCCGGCUUGCCUCCUUCCCCCCAGCUGCUGCUGCCCUACGCGGUUCGUGCGGAGGAGCGCGCUCUCUUCUUCUUUUCACUCGUUCCCAACUCUUUCUCCCCGCGAUUCGCCUCUUCGAUUCGAAAAAGUGUGAGGACGGCGCAGGCCCGGGGCUCGCCAACGCUUCCUCCCCGCCGUUAAGGUUAGGUACUUCGUUUUUCUCGUUCGAC